GUUUAUUUUCUUUCCAUAUCAGUUGCAUCGUAUUAUUUAUUAGUUACCUAUAUCAUUUAAGGUUUUUGAUUUUUUUUUCUCAAGACAACUUGGGGUAUUUUAUAACUUUCAGGUUAAUAAAAUAUUAAUAAUUCUUAUAUGUUUGACAUCUUUAUUGUUAAUUUAAAUUGAAAUGAAGUGUUUGAAUUAAAUAGUUAUUUUUAUAUUAAUCUUAUGUAAAAAUACUUAAAUUUAUUAAUUUAAUUAUUCAAAUAUUUUGAAUUUUCGGUAUACGACCAUUUUCCAUUUUUCAUUAAAAAUAUUUUAAAACUAAGUAAAUUAUCUCAUCAAAACUAGUUUUAAUUAAUUUAUUGUAUUUAAUUUACUGAACUAUAAUGUAUGAAAAAAAAAUGUAUUUUUGGUACAUUGAUUUUUUUUGUUAAAAAAUUUUAAUUAUGUGAUCAGAAAUUAUCUUAAUAAUUAAUUUAUUAAACAUGAGCCUAUAUAUUGUUUAUUUCUUUAUAAUUUGUAUUUAUGUUUUUUUUUUUUUUUUUAAAGAAAGAUAGCACAAAUGUGCUAUAUUAUAUAUUUUUAAUCUAUGAAUAUUAGUUGAAGGUUAAAUAAUUUGGUACUAUUUAUUUUAAAACAAUUUUGUCUAAGUUGUAAAUUGAGCUGUGUAAACAUUCAUUUAUUGUUUUAAAUAUCUUUCAACUAAUUUCUAGAUAUGAUAAUGUAUUAUAAUAUACAGAUAAAUAAAAUAUUGUGCUUAUAGAUUCUGAGCGUAGUAAA